rnacentral:lncRNA from 1 species
UGCCAUGUUGGCCAGGCUGGUCUUGAACUCCUGGCCUCAGGUGAUCUACACGCACUUUGGGAGGCCUAGGUGGGCAGAUCAGUUGAGCCCAGGAGUUUGAGUUCAGCCUGGGCAACAUGGGGAAACCCCAUCUCUACAAAAAAUAAAAAAUUAGUAGGGCAUGGUGGUGUGCACCCGUAGUCCCAGCCACUCUGGAGACGGAGGUUGGAGGAUCACUUGAUCCUGCGAGUUUUAGUACUUCUUUUUCACUAGGUUUGCCCUGAUCUGUGUGGCUUUUCUUUCCAUCUUUCUAGGUGAAAGUGGGCUGUGUGUGAGGUAGCUGCCCACCGGAAGGGCCAUAGGUUCUCAUUUACUGGAACAGAGAUUGCUUCCCAUCUGAAGACAUUGGACUAAUCCCUACCGUCCAGUGGGGAAACAGCUAAACAGCUCUGAUUAAAGCUUAAUCAGAGUGUUUCUAUGGACAACACUGUGAUUAAGGGACCCUGUUCUGGAACCAGGAGUGCUGUGCCCUUCCCCAUGGCAUGUGGUCUCCAGCCUCUGGUGCACGGAGAGUGCUCAGUGAAGGUCAAAGCUCUUCAAAAGUGCUUCCUUUUCCUUUCAUAUAACAUUUUUAGUGCCUCUUGUUUCACUCCCAAAGAUCCUAUCCCACUUCCCACACAUGCACACCAAUACGCCCAUGCCAUCAGUUUCAACUCCCCCUGUGUCCAUGAUGCCAUGAUGGUUCCUGUUUUGGGGAGUUCACCCUUGCUAUUUCACUCAAUUUUAAAAAUUGUUUUUAUUUCCAGUUACCUCUUCUAGGAAGCCUUCUAGGAUUUCCAGCUCCCU